rnacentral:lncRNA from 1 species
UACUAGUAUCCAUGGGGGUUCAUAGGAAUGCCCCUGCUACAUGUGAACCCUUUCAUUUAUCAUUCUCAAUUAUGGAUCGUCCCCAUACCCCCGUCCGAUAUGAGCGCCAAUUUACUAAACCUUAAUACCAAGUCCGGUAUAAGGGUGAAGCGGGCCGUCCCCAUAUCUCAUCCGGUAUGAGUGCCAAAUUAUCAAGUCUCUGUACCCCGUCCGGUAUGAGACAACGUUUAUGGUAGGGUUCCCUAUGUACCCGAUCCGUUCACCAUCUCCCAGGAUAUUCAGUAAGACUGUCGUUUCAUCU